rnacentral:lncRNA from 1 species
GUCUGAGAAAACACUGAGAGAGAAAGAACAACUUGUCAGGUGGUGCAUUGGAGACUGAUGUGUUCCUGUCCGGUCUUUUCACAAUACUAUUGCAGAUCAACAUAAAAGCCUAAAAGACAGCUGUGGUGCCGCUCUUCAUUUCUUGGUUCUCCUGUGGUGCAUAAGAGACCCGCUACACUUGAAGGACAGCAAUGGAUGGGGGGAAACUGGAAAGAAAACCACAAGUGUUCCUUACUGACCUACUAGAGAUUCACCAAUCCCAUCUCUGUGACAUGGUGAGGCUGGACCCAGGUGCAGAGAAGAAACCAGAUGAGGAAUCAGUGGUUAAGGAUAAACAUAAAUACGUUACUCAGAAACAGUAGCC